CCCAUCUCAUCCAAUGGUUAUUUUUUCCCCAUACAAACCAUAUAAAAUACAAAUAUAACCUUAACCCUAAACCUAAAUUAAACAAGACCAGCGGCAACCCCUCAUUUCUGCCGUCGCGCGACCACUCUAACCCGCCGGAGAGUCCCUCCAAUCAUUACAUGGUCUCCCCCUCGCUGGUACCCUCCUUCCAUGUCACAUUUAUCACGUGUUUUCCUUUUUUCUUGGAUGGAUUUGAGGUUAAUGGGAGCCUUAGGAUCAAGGAUUUUGAUCCUAGUCAUCCAUUUGCCAAAAAUCCGUCCACUUGAAAGAGAUCUACGGGCUUAGGUCGUUUUUUGGAGUACAAGAACAGAAGAUUCGAGAGGGGUAUAUAUAAUUAGGGAUUUUCGGAUAGAAAGGGGGAAGAUUUUUUUAGACUGGAUAAAUUAGGGUUCUUUUUAGCUUCUUUGGAGAUUUUCUGUGUAGUUUGGCAUUAAAAUAAAUAGGAAAAAAAUCAGUUGUGCUUAGAUGUUUAUCCCUUGAAGCUUUUGUCUGUGUGCUUUGGAUGCCCGGU
rnacentral:lncRNA from 1 species